GUGGUGCUCCAAAACAAUUAUAAAUGUAACGUCAGAGAUCAUUGAUCAUGGAUCACUGUAACAGAUACAACAAAAAAAUUGAAAUGUUGUGAGAGUUACCAAAAUGUGACCCAGUCACAAAGUGAACACAUGUUGUUGGAAAAAUGGCACCAAUAGACUUGGUCAAUGCAGAAUCACCACAAACCUUCAAUUUGUAAAGAACAGUAUCUGCAAAGUUCAAGAAAAUGGCUUAUGCCUGUACCUAUCUCUUAGACAGCCUGGGAGGAGUAAAUGAGAUAUGGGUAAAGAAGGCCUUAGAACUCUGUCUGGACAGCACAAGCAAUGGAUGAAAGCUGGCUGUUGCGUUGUUGAUGAUGCUAUGUGAGAAAAACCACCCUCGAGGCUUCUUAUAGCCUUUUGUUUAUAAUGUUUUCUGACUAACAGAAGUUCUACAUUUGAAUAUUGUUUAAUUUAUUGGUCUUUUCUUUCGGCAUGUGAACUUCUAAGUCCUGUUAAAUUUCCUACUAAGACGUCAUUAAGGUUUCAUAUUGCCUUUCACAUUUAAGUUUCAUCGGAAAUUCGUUUCAUGUAGGAUGUGGCAAAGGAAUCCAGUUUCUUUCCUUUUCAAUAGAUAACCUGUUGUUUCAGCAUCACUUAUUGAAUUUGAAUAUUUCUCUCCUCUGAAAGGAAACACUGUACAAAGCUGCCCAUUUUUCAACAUCUGAAGGUGAUCAUAUUAAUAUUUAGUAAAGUUUUCUAGGUUAUAUAAGAUGAAGGUUAAAUCUACUUCCUGUUAUACCAUGAUGGAUACAGAAUUCAUCUGUGUUCAAAUCUUUUGGAAAUUCUGCAAUUAAGUUAGGUUGGUACCUCUCAGAAUUUCUUCUUAAAUCCUGAGUUUAAAAUGGGAAAAGCCUCCACUAUUCACUUGAGAAUCUGUUAUAAUUUGAUUAUCACUUCUUUGUGUUUUCCCAUUAGCUAUUACAAAUAUUUUCUCUACAUUUCAGUGUUUUAUAGUUUUUGCUUUGAUUUAUCUUGGAAUUCAUUCAGAUUCCUCUAUGUGAGUAUUGGUGUGUUUCAAAACUUCUGUAAAAUUAUCAAACUUUACCUCUUUGACUAUUGCAUAUUCACGUUCUUUCUAGUGUAUAUUUCUGGAGCUCCAAUUAGACAAGCAUUUCUAAUUAUUUUUCUUUUUGCAAUUGAUUCCUCUGGAAGUCUGGCAAGGACUAAGAACAUCUUC
rnacentral:lncRNA from 1 species